GACGAACGCUGGCGGCGUGCCUAAUACAUGCAAGUAGAACGCACAGGGUAUACCUUGGCUUGCUACACCAUAAACGGUGAGGUGCGAACGGGUGAGUAACGCGUAGUUAACCUGGCGGGUAGCUGGGGGUAACUAUAGGUAAUGAUAGCUAAUACCGCAUAAUAUUUAUUAUUGCAUGAUAAUUGACAGAAAGAUGCAAUCGCAUCACUACUAGAUGGUCUUGCGUUGUAUUAGCUAGAAGGUGAGGUAACGGCUCACCUAGGCGACGAUACAUAGCCGACCUGAGAGGGUGAUCGGCCACACUGGGACUGAGACACGGCCCAGACUCCUACGGGAGGCAGCAGUAGGGAAUCUUCGGCAAUGGACGGAAGUCUGACCGAGCAACGCCGCGUGAGUGAAGAAGGUUUUCGGAUCGUAAAGCUCUGUUGUAAGAGAAGAACGGGUGUGAGAGUGGAAAGUUCACACUGUGACGGUAUCUUACCAGAAAGGGACGGCUAACUACGUG
rnacentral:rRNA from 1 species